rnacentral:misc_RNA from 1 species
GAUGAAGAACGUAGCGAAAUGCGAUACUUGGUGUGAAUUGCAGAAUCCCGUGAACCAUCGAGUCUUUGAACGCAAGUUGCGCCCGAAGCCAGUAGGCCGAGGGCACGCCUGCCUGGGUGUCACACACCGUUACCCUCGCGCCAACGUCCAUCGUUGGCCGCGGCGCGGGGCGUGCGCUGACCUCCCGCGAGCGGGGUCUCGUGGUUGGUUGAAAAUCGAGUUCGCGGUCGAGGGUGCCGUGAUGAAAUGGUGGAUGGGCGACGCCCGAGGCCAAUCACGCGCGACUCUGUGCGGCUCGGACUCCUGGACCCCUUCGGCGUCUCCGGACGCUCUUUGGCGAGACCUCAGGUCAGGCGGGGCUACCCGCUGAGUUUAAGCAUAUCAAUAAGCGGAGGA